rnacentral:rRNA from 1 species
GAUGAACGCUGGCGGCGUGCCUAAUACAUGCAAGUCGAGCGAACAGACGAGGAGCUUGCUCCUCUGACGUUAGCGGCGGACGGGUGAGUAACACGUGGAUAACCUACCUAUGAGACUGGGAUAACUUCGGGAAACCGGAGCUAAUACCGGAUAAUAUAUUGAACCGCAUGGUUCAAUAGUGAAAGACGGUUUUGCUGUCACUUAUAGAUGGAUCCGCGCCGCAUCAGCUAGUUGGUAAGGUAACGGCUUACCAAGGCGACGAUGCGUAGCCGACCUGAGAGGGUGAUCGGCCACACUGGAACUGAGACACGGUCCAGACUCCUACGGGAGGCAGCAGUAGGGAAUCUUCCGCAAUGGGCGAAAGCCUGACGGAGCAACGCCGCGUGAGUGAUGAAGGUCUUCGGAUCGUAAAACUCUGUUAUUAGGGAAUAACAAAUGUGUAAGUAACUAUGCACGUCUUGACGGUACCUAAUCAGAAAGCCACGGCUAACUACGUG